rnacentral:rRNA from 1 species
UGUGGUGAUGGUAGCAAGAAGGAUACACCUGUUCCCAUGCCGAACACAGCAGUUAAGCUUCUUAGCGCCGAUGGUAGUUGGACCUUUGGUCCUGUGAGAGUAGGUCGUUGCCAUAC